CCUACGGGUGGCAGCAGUGGGGAAUAUUGGGCAAUGGGCGCAAGCCUGACCCAGCAACGCCGCGUGAAGGAAGAAGGCUUUCGGGUUGUAAACUUCUUUUAAGAGGGAAGAGCAGAAGACGGUACCUCUUGAAUAAGCAUCGGCUAACUCCGUGCCAGCAGCCGCGGUAAUACGGAGGAUGCGAGCGUUAUCCGGAUUUAUUGGGUUUAAAGGGUGCGUAGGCGGUCCGGAAAGUCAGCGGUAAAAGCCCGGGGCUCAACCCCGGCGAGCCGUUGAAACUGUCGGACUAGAGACGGCGAGAAGGACGCGGAAUGCGCGGUGUAGCGGUGAAAUGCAUAGAUAUCGCGCAGAACUCCGAUUGCGAAGGCAGCGUACCGGCGCCGGACUGACGCUGAGGCACGAAAGCGUGGGUAUCGAACAGGAUUAGAUACCCUAGUAGUC
rnacentral:rRNA from 1 species